rnacentral:rRNA from 1 species
CGUAGGUGGCAAGCGUUGUCCGGAUUUACUGGGCGUAAAGAGCGCGCAGGCGGUCGUUCAAGUCGCGUGUGAAAGCCCCCGGCUCAACUGGGGAGGGUCACGCGAUACUGAUCGACUCGAAGGCAGGAGAGGGAAGUGGAAUUCCCGGUGUAGUGGUGAAAUGCGUAGAUAUCGGGAGGAACACCAGUGGCGAAGGCGACUUCCUGGCCUGUUCUUGACGCUGAGGCGCGAAAGCGUGGGGAGCAAACAGG